rnacentral:rRNA from 1 species
AACGCGAAGAACCUUACCUGGGCUUGACAUGUGGGUGACCGGUGUGGAAACACACCUUCCCUUCGGGGCACCUUCACAGGUGGUGCAUGGCUGUCGUCAGCUCGUGUCGUGAGAUGUUGGGUUAAGUCCCGCAACGAGCGCAACCCCCGUCGCAUGUUGCCAGCAUUUAGUUGGGGACUCAUGCGAGACUGCCGGUGACAAACCGGAGGAAGGUGGGGAUGACGUCAAGUCCUCAUGCCCCUUAUGUCCAGGGCUACACACGUGCUACAUUGGCGCAUACAGAGGGCUGCGAUACCGCGAGGUGGAGCGAAUCCCUUAAAGUGCGUCUCGGUUCGGAUUGCAGGCUGAAAUUCGCCUGCAUGAAGGCGGAGUUGCUAGUAAUCGCGGAUCAUCAUUGCCGCGGUGAAUACGUUCCCGGGCCUUGUA